rnacentral:rRNA from 1 species
UACAGAGGGUGCGAGCGUUAAUCGGAAUUACUGGGCGUAAAGCGCGCGUAGGCGGCUUUGCAAGUCGGGUGUGAAAUCCCCAGGCUUAACCUGGGAACUGCAUUCGAGACUGCAUUGCUAGAGUAUGGGAGAGGGAAGUGGAAUUUCCGGUGUAGCGGUGAAAUGCGUAGAGAUCGGGAGGAACACCAGAGGCGAAGGCGGCGACCUGGGACAGUUACUGACACUCAACUGCGAAAGCGUGGGGAGCAAACAGG